GAUGAACGCUGACAGAAUGCUUAACACAUGCAAGUCAACUGUGGCGGACGGGUGAGUAACGCGUAAAGAACUUGCCUCACAGUUAGGGACAACAUUUGGAAACGAAUGCUAAUACCUGAUACUGUGAGAGAGCUUUGCGUCCCAUUAGCUAGUGGGAGAGGUAACUGCUCACCAAGGCGAGGAUGGGUAGCCGGCCUGAGAGGGUGAUAGGCCACAAGGGGACUGGGGCACGGGCCGUACGCAUACGGGAGGAAGCAGUGGAGAAUAUUGUACACUGGACCAAAGUCUGAUCAAGGAAUUCUGUGUGCAAGAUGAAGUUUUCGGAAUGUAAAGGGCUUUCAGUUGGGAAGCGGUACCAACAGAAGAAGUGACGGCUAAAUACGUGCCAGCAGCCGCGGUAAUAC
rnacentral:rRNA from 1 species